rnacentral:rRNA from 1 species
GGACUACGGGGGUAUCUAAUCCGGUUUGCUCCCCCAGCUUUCGUCCCUCACUGUCGGAGCCGUUCUGGUGAGGCGCCUUCGCCACAGGUGGUCCCCCAAGGAUUACAGGAUUUCACUCCUACCCCUGAAGUACCCCUCACCUCUCCCGGUCCCUAGAUUGCCAGUAUCCCCUGGACGCCUAUCGGUUAAGCCGAUAGAUUUCCCAAGAGACUUAACAACCAAGCUACGAACGCUUUAAGCCCAGUAAUAGUGGCCACCACUCGAGCCGCCGGUAUUACCGCGGCGGCUGGCACCGGUCUUGCCCGGCCCUUUCUUCGUAUGCUUUUUAAACAUACGGACAGUCCGAAUUUACGGACACUCGGAGUUCCCUUAUCACGGUUUCCCGCAUUGUAAAGUUUUCGCGCCUGCUGCCCCCCAUAGG